rnacentral:rRNA from 6 species
UGCGACCCCAGGUCAGGCGGGACUACCCGCUGAGUUUAAGCAUAUCAAUA